ACAUUAUCCACACCAGUUCAUCCCACCAAGAGCUUGAACUACCGUUCUAAAAGAAAAACUAUCUGUAAGCAUAGGAGCCAAAGGAUAAGAGAAAUGGAUGGGAUACAGCAAGUAGCCUUACCCAUCCUUGGAAUUGUAGCAGCUGCUGCUGCUACCUUCUAUGCUGUAAGCUUUUCUGAGCUUAGAGAGAAAUCAUUUAAUGAUUUGGAGGACUCUGAGACUGAAAAUGGAGGAUUCAAGUAUGUGAGCUCAAGGGAGAGACGGGCAAGAAAAAAAGCAGAGAAACAAGUCAAAAGUUGAACACAGACAGCAAAGUUCUUGGCUGCUGCUGUGAGUAUUUUCUUCUUUUAUCACUUGGCGCGCGUUGUAACAGAUUCUACAGUUUAGUGUGUAAUAUGCUUUUUAUGGGUGUUAUAACCAUUAUGAUUUACCGUAAAAGUUUAUCGUUAUGCUUUAUUUAUUAGACUUUAAUUGUCGUUUUUUUUUAGAAGAUGAUUGUCGUAAUUUGCAAAGCACUUUCUUCUAAUCAAGAGUAAUUCUACCAUACCCUAUUAAUGUUGUUUUGAUUUUGACCCUUAAUUUAAUUUAAGGGAAUACUUAUUAUUGGUAAAGCAAGUCAUGUAUAUAAACAAAGAAAAACAAAUCACUUUUCUUUCUACGCUUCAUUCUGUAAGCUUUUUUUUUUUUUUUUUUUUUCCUUCUCAAAUUGAGGAUAUUUCCAUAAUUAUAAAGAUAUAUAAGUUUAUCGGUCUUUUAGAGGUUUUAGAAAUAGGGUCAUUCUACCAUAUCCACAAUUUUUUUAGGGAUAUGGUACCCACCUUCUGAACUAUUAAAUUAGUGUUGUUUUGAUCUUGACCCUUAAUUUAAUUUAAGGGAAUACUUGUUACUAAUAAAGCAGGCCAUGGAUAUAAACAAAGAAAAAAAAAUCAGUAUUCUUUGUACGCUUUAGAACUCUCUCUACGCUUCUAUCUGUAAACUUCUUCUCUCUCAACUUCUUUCUCUUCCAAACCAACUACAAGACCAGAGCCAUCACUACUAAACAAAAUCCUAAGCAAGACCCACAAUAGUUUUCAGUUUUUUUUGGAAACAUAUAGGUGAAAAAGUGUGUAGAAAUAAGUGUAAUAUUGUUUAAAAACUGAAAAUAUGUGUUUUAAAUAGUGGACCAAUCAGGGACAUAGUAUUUCAAUUCCAGCCGCUCUCUGCUUCGACAACCGUAUUAACCUAGACCGUUAAGGCCGUCAAAAAGGUCGAUUUGGAUUACAAGAGUUCAUUAAGAUUCUAAGUUUCAUUGAGGAUGUUGGGUUGAAUAUUCACCACAAUAUGAGUGGCGUUGGAUUAAUUAAGUUCUAUUAUUGCAGCUGGAUGGGAAGUAUGUCAUUUAUUCUUACACUGGGUGGAGUGAUGAAGAUUUUACCAUCGAAUCAUGAAGUACUUUGUUGUCUGUAAACCACCUAUUAAUGGGUGUUUUGAGGAAAGAGUUCCCAGAAUUGUUUGAAUCAAAUCACUUAAAAUGCAUUUGACAAAGUUUUAUACAAUUUGUUUUUCUACA